rnacentral:rRNA from 1 species
UUAGAUGAGCCUACGUUAGAUUAGCUAGUUGGUAAGGUAAUGGCUUACCAAGGCUAUGAUCUAUAGCUGGUCUGAGAGGACGAUCAGCCACACUGGAACUGAGAUACGGUCCAGACUCCUACGGGAGGCAGCAGUGGGGAAUAUUGGACAAUGGGCGAAAGCCUGAUCCAGCUAUGCCGCGUGAGUGAAGAAGGCCUUCGGGUUGUAAAACUCUUUCAAUAGGGAAGAUAAUGACGGUAC